GCCCGCCUAGCUCAAUCGGAUAGAGCGUCAGACUCUUAAAGGCGGUGUCAUCCCUCAUUGGGAAUCUGAAGGCUGCGAGUUCGACCCUCGCGGUGGGCU